rnacentral:rRNA from 1 species
UUCYGUAGGUGAACCUGCGGAAGGAUCAUUGACGAAUCCUGCAAAGCAGACGACCGUGAACUUGUGUAAAACUCAGGCAUCAGUGGACGUGUGGGUAACCCCUACCCUUCUCUUGAUGCUCUCCACAUGCUCGUUGUGUGGAAAAACACUAAACCCCGGCGCGGAAAGCGCCAAGGAAAACGUAAACAGAUUGCCUUGCAUCCCAUAGCCCCGUUCGCGGUUAUGCUCAUGGGGUGUGUGGGCAUCUAUAGAAACCAAAACGACUCUCGGCAACGGAUAUCUCGGCUCUCGCAUCGAUGAAGAACGUAGCGAAAUGCGAUACUUGGUGUGAAUUGCAGAAUCCCGUGAACCAUCGAGUUUUUGAACGCAAGUUGCGCCCGAAGCCAUUAGGSCGAGGGCACGUCUGCCUGGGCGUCACGCAUCGCGUCGCCACCCACCAUCGUUGUGAUGGGUGGCGGAUGUUGGCCUCCCGUGCUGCAAGGUGCGGCCGGCCUAAAUGUGAGUCCUCGACGAGAGACGUCACGACUAGUGGUGGUUGAAUAGCUCAACUCGUGUCCUGUCGUGCCGAUGCCUCUCGCCGUCUUCGGGCUCCCGUGACCCUAUUGCGUGCUCACAAAGCACGCCUCGACCGCGACCCCAGGUCAGGCGGGAUUACCCGCUGAAU